rnacentral:rRNA from 1 species
UACAGAGGUCUCAAGCGUUGUUCGGAUUCAUUGGGCGUAAAGGGUGCGUAGGCGGCGCGGUAAGUCGGGUGUGAAAUCUUGGAGCUUAACUCCGAAACUGCAUUCGAUACUGCCGUGCUUGAGGACUGGAGAGGAGACUGGAAUUUACGGUGUAGCGGUGAAAUGCGUAAAUAUCUGGAGGAACACCGGUGGCGAAGGCGGCAUCCUGGACCAACACUGACGCUGAGUGAGCGAAAGCCAGGGGAGCAAACGGG